AACGAACGCUGGCGGCAUGCCUAACACAUGCAAGUCGAACGAGACCUUCGGGUCUAGUGGCGCACGGGUGCGUAACGCGUGGGAACCUGCCCUUAGGUUCGGAAUAACUCCCCGAAAGGGGUGCUAAUACCGGAUAAUGUCUUCGGACCAAAGAUUUAUUGCCUUUGGAGGGGCCGGCGUUGGAUUAGCUAGUUGGUAGGGUAAAAGCCUACCAAGGCGACGAUUCAUAGCUUGUCUGAGAGGAUGAUCAGCCACACUGGGACUGAGACACGGCCCAGACUCCUACGGGAGGCAGCAGUGGGGAAUAUUGGACAAUGGGCGAAAGCCUGAUCCAGCAAUGCCGCGUGAGUGAUGAAGGCCUUAGGGUUGUAAAGCUCUUUUAACCGGGAUGAUAAUGACAGUACCGGGAGAAUAAGCCCCGGCUAACUCCGUG
rnacentral:rRNA from 1 species